AAUAGAGUCAGCUAAUCUAAGCUAUUGGGCUCAUGUCCCGAAAAUGAGGUAACUCUCCUUUAUUA
rnacentral:tRNA from 1 species